rnacentral:lncRNA from 1 species
GGUCUUUUUCUAGGAUUGCUUUAUAAUCUUCCAGAGCUUCAUCUAGUUUCUCUGUUUUUUCAUGUAGUUCUGCUCUUCUCAGCAAAGCUCUAAUAUAGUUAGGAUCUAAUUCCACUGCUUUGCUGCAGUCAUUUAGGGCAGCUUCUGUCUUGUCCUGUUUCAUUUUUGCAGCAGCUCUGUUUGAAAACAAAACAGCCCUAUCUUUUUGGAAGCAGGCUGGACAAAUUUGCAGAGCCUUUGUGUAAGAGUCUUCUGCCUCUCCAUAGUCUCCUUUCUUGAACUGUUCAUUUCCUUUCUCCUUCAGCGUUGUGCUUUCCUUUCUUCUUUUCUGUUUUUCUUCCUCUGGCAUAUCUUUUUCCAGUUCUAGUAAGUAUUCCUCAUCUAGCUCUGUCUGCUUCCUUGUGCUAUUCUCAUCAUUCUGUGAACUUUCCUCAUCAUCCAGUACAGGCUCUUUCAUCUCAAAGGAGUCACGACAGUCAUGGAAACACUCAUCUGCUGUGGUGGGAUCUUUGGCUGAAGAUGGUAUAUCGCCACUUGCCAAGUUUGGAAGAUUCUGGGCAUCUUUGGGGCCAGAUGCCCAUGAGCUAGUGCUCUCUGUUGACUUCUGAUCAGAAAGCUUUAAGUGAUCAAGCAAUUCUUCUGGCGGAUGUCCAUCUUUAACCUCCUCCAUAUCAGACUUCUUGGAGUGGUUUGAUUUAUAGAAACAAGAGAAAUAACCUUCAAUUAGCUUAUUACAAACAUCUUGACAGUAAAUACUCAAAGUGCUUACAGAUACACCCAAGAAUAAGUGAUACCAUCCUAAGGAAGCCAUGAUUCCUUCAGGGUAAGGCAGACCUAACAUGUACUUUUUUCAAGACACUGCAGAACUAACC